rnacentral:rRNA from 1 species
CAACACCUCCUGGAAUGGUGUGUUGUUCAAACUCGUGCUGUAGGAUGGGCCGGCGGCUGAUUAGGUUGUUGGUGGGGUAACGGCCCACCAAGCUGAAGAUCAGUACGGGCCUUGAAAGAGGUAGCCCGGAGAGGGACACUGAGAUACUGGUCCCAGCCCUACGGGGUGCAGCAGGCGCGAAACCUUUCCAAUGCACGCAAGUGUGAGAAGGGGAUACUCAGUGCUUACGCUUUUGGUGUAGGCUUUUGUGAAGUGUAGACAGCUCCAUGAAUAAGUGGUGGGCAAGACUGGUGCCAGCCGCCGCGGUAACACCAGCGCCACGAGUGGUCAUCGCGAUUAUUGGGCCUAAAGCGUUCGUAGCCGGUUUGGUAAAUCUCUUGUGAAAUUGUCUGGCUCAACCAGACAGCGUGCAGGGGACACUGCCAGACUCGAGACCGGGAGGGGUUAGAGGUAUUCUGUGGGGACUGGUAAAAUGGGAUAAUCCACAGAGGACCACCGAUGGCGAAGGCAUCUAACCAGAACGGAUCUGACGGUGAGGAACGAAAGCCAGGGGAGCGAACCGGAUUAGAUACCCGAGUAGUCCUGGCCGUAAACGCUGUGAGCUAGGUGU